rnacentral:lncRNA from 1 species
GGGGGUUCUGGGGGGUACUGGGGGGUACCGGGGGUUAACGGGGGGGUAACGGGGGAGGACUGAGGGGGCCGGCAGGGGGCGCUCUAGCACACAUCGGGCAACUCUAUGGUAGCGCCGCUCUAGCCGCGCGCUCUAUGGUGCCGCGCGCUACUUCCGGCCCGCCCCUGGGUUGGGGAGGGUGACCCGGAAGUGCUGUGGCGGGUUGGCGGGCGGGAACUACAACUCCCAGCAGCCCCCGCGGCGGGCGCGGCUUAACCCCUCCCCCCCCUUUCCCCCCCCCCUUCACACCCAGCCGGCGUCGCCGCCGUGCUGACGUCAUCGUCGCGGCGGCGUCACCGCGCCGCGGCGACGUCAUCACGCCGCGGCGACGUCAUCACGCCGCGGGACGCCGGCGGCCGGCCCCCGCCGCAGCCAUUUGGAGGAAGUUGGGGAAGAGCCGAGCCCGCCCUGGAAGCUGGAGGGGGAGGACACGGCCGCCGCCACCCCCCCGCGCCCCACGGCCCCCAGUGGGGGCACCAUGUCCGCCGGGGGGGCUCCCCAGCCUGCCCACGUCCUGAACCUGCUCCCUUACCCCAGGCUGAA